rnacentral:misc_RNA from 1 species
UUAAGUUCAGCGGGUAAUCCUACUCGAUUUGAGGUCAAGUUAUCAAAUAUUGUCCUGAGACGGUUUGAAGCACAGAGCUCCUAAUCAGACAGAAAACAGCGAGGGUUACUUAUCACGCCGUACUAUGUUUAACUAAGAGUCGCACUAACUUAUUUAAGAUGAGCCUGACAGUAAGUACCAGGCAACAUCCAAAUCCACCG